UAUAUGUUGUAGGAACAUUUAUUCAUGGAGGAAAUGAGUCUAUCUAAUGAACAUGUAACUUUUUAACUCAAAUGACAUUAUAUUGCGUUGCACUAGCUAUGUACUAUUUCCGUUUUAUGAAGUUCUAGCCAUUCGCAACCACUUAGAUUAAACAGUGUUACCUUCUGUUUGUGCAGGCGGAGGAGAUGGAAAAGGAGAAUGAAGAAUUGCGCAAGGAAGUGGAGGAGCUUCAGCAAUGCUUGAAGAGGAAACGCGCUGAUGCUGGUGUCAUGACUGAUGAAGGUUACAUUACUGGGAAAGGAUUCGAGUCUGAUGAUAUUCUCAGCUUAGGAUAAAUGGGUUGUCAACAGAAGCUUGUGGUGCUGAUCUAAGAUGAUGCCAAAAGACGGUGUAUGCACACUCUUGACUGGUCUGAAGGCGCGGCGGUACAUGAAUCAUGAAGCACCAUUUAGCUAGAUGUUGAUUAGCCAUCGUUCCAGCUAGCUGCUUUGUUUAAUUCGUUGUUGUUUUUAAUUUAUGUCUUAAUUAGCUAGCUAGUUUUAUAUAGAAGAAUCAACCGAUGUUGUUACAGCUUAUUACUAAGCUUGCUCGGUUAAUUAGGGAUUAGUAUAAGUACAAACUACCGUUCAAUUUUAAUUACAGUUUCAGCAGCUGGCAUAUC